UAGAGUAAAAUUCUUUUAGAGGU
rnacentral:snRNA from 1 species